ACUUGAGAAUCACUGGGAAGUGGCUGCGAAAGCAGCCAAUGCAAAUGCGGCUGCGCCCGUAUACGACAAGCGGCCUCGAGGCGCUGCUCGCGCACGAAUUCUUCGGUCUUUUUGCUUCCCAUUUUGUGCCGUGCAGUACGUCCACCGAAGUACUGACGUUUCGCUGUGCCAUCGCAUGGCCGACGUGUGCAUACCGAGGUUCACUUUCGCGUGGUACCCGCUGUGUCACAAGUAUCGUAUUUAAACACGUAACGCUUGUGGCAAACCAUCAACGAUUACCGAUCAGAAAAGAAAAAUUCAUAGAUCCGGCCUUUCACAUCGACGUGGACCACCUUUUCCAUACUUCGGACCCCGUUGGUGGUAAAAAAUUAAUUUAUUGGGAACCCCGUAAGCCCGCGACCACGCGACACAACGCUCAGCAAUGUCCAACGAGGAGACUUCCGCCGACCGCAAUGUCGAGAUCUGGAAGAUCAAGAAACUCAUAAAAAGUCUCGAAAUGGCUAGAGGGAAUGGGACUAGCAUGAUUUCGCUAAUCAUUCCCCCAAAGGAUCAAAUAUCAAGAGUGAGCAAAAUGUUAGCGGACGAGUUUGGAACUGCGUCGAAUAUCAAAUCUCGUGUAAAUAGAUUAUCCGUUUUGGGUGCAAUCACAUCUGUACAACAUAGGCUAAAAUUAUAUACUAAAGUGCCUCCAAAUGGCCUGGUAAUAUAUUGUGGUACCAUUGUAACAGAAGAAGGAAAAGAGAAGAAAGUGAACAUUGAUUUUGAACCUUUUAAACCUAUUAAUACUUCUCUCUAUCUUUGUGAUAAUAAGUUUCACACAGAAGCGCUUACAGCGUUGCUCGCUGAUGAUAACAAAUUCGGUUUUAUAGUCAUGGACGGUAAUGGUGCACUGUUUGGUACUCUUCAAGGAAAUACUCGUGAAGUCCUGCAUAAAUUUACUGUAGACCUUCCAAAGAAGCAUGGCAGAGGUGGACAAUCGGCUCUCCGUUUCGCUCGAUUGCGUAUGGAAAAGCGACAUAACUAUGUUCGGAAAGUUGCAGAAGUAGCCACUCAGCUGUACAUUAGUAACGAUAAACCUAACAUCGCUGGUUUAAUUUUAGCGGGUAGUGCUGAUUUUAAGACAGAACUUAGUCAAUCCGACAUGUUUGAUCCUAGAUUGCAAGCAAAAGUUAUAAAAUUAGUAGAUGUUUCGUAUGGUGGAGAAAAUGGUUUCAAUCAGGCUAUUGAACUAGCUGCUGAAUCUUUGCAAAAUGUAAAAUUCAUUCAAGAAAAGAAAUUAAUUGGUCGUUAUUUUGAUGAAAUCUCACAAGAUACGGGAAAAUAUUGUUUUGGUGUAGAAGAUACGUUAAGAGCUUUAGAAUUAGGUAGUGUGGAAACCCUUAUCUGUUGGGAAAACUUAGAUAUUCAACGAUACGUUUUAAAGAACCAUACAAAUGCUGAGGAAAAAGUUUUACAUCUAACGCCGGAACAAGAAAAAGACAAAACUCAUUUUACUGAUAAAGAGAGCGGAGUAGAAUUGGAACUUGUAGAGUGCCAACCCCUGCUUGAAUGGCUUGCAAACAAUUAUAAAAGCUUUGGUGCCACCUUGGAAAUCAUAACAGAUAAAUCUCAGGAAGGUUCUCAAUUUGUAAGAGGUUUUGGCGGCAUUGGAGGAAUCCUCCGCUACAAAGUUGAUUUCCAGUCACUGCAGGCUGAUGAGCCUCUUGAUGAUGUUGACCUCGAUGAUUACUAAUUUCAUCUGUGAAAUACUCAAAGUUGACCAGAACUGGACAAAUUUAUCAAGGCAUUUAUAACUUUCAUAUUAGCAUACAUAAAAAAUGAAUAAAAUGAUCAUAUAUAAUAUUGUGAUUGUAUGUACUAUUCUGUGAAAAUUUAUGUAACAUUAAACCUUUAUACAUUAGGUAUAAUUAACCAUUAGUAAUUUAACUAACCGUCAUAUGUUAAACUCUGUCUUUACGAGUAUUUGUAUUUUAAAUACAGAUAUAAUAUGUCAAUUUGUAACAUAAAUAAUGGACUCAUCAUGAAGAGAUCAUUUUUUAUCUUGCAAUUGCUAUUAUUUUAUUACUAUUGUAACGUUAUUAUCGGGAAUUAUAAGACUUCUUUGGUAAAUCAUUGAAGUUUUGUGAUAUGAACAACGAAACAAAUGCAUUCAACGUAUAAUUAAGAACUACCCGAUAAAUUUGUCCAAAAAUAUUUGCAGUUUCUUCUGUUGGGUUUCUCACUGAAUAGUAUAGUUCGAUACUUCUGUGCAGAUCUGUAGUAUAUAUUAUACAUAUAUAUGUCUCUUCUGAUGAGUUUGAAUGUGAAUAUAGAUAUUUUUAGUUCAAAAUUCCGAGGUAUAUAAUGUUUAUUUUCACAAAUAAAAAGCCUGGAAACUGCUAUCUUCUUUUUUUCUUGGUGGUACAAAAAUAAAGAAAAUCUUGUAUAUAUAUGAGAUAUGGAUAUUUGUAUUUAAAAAUGGUGAGUUAAAGUAUUUCAAUAUGUAAAUUUUAUGUCUUGAACAUUCUUAGAUCUGUUCUUACUACUUAGUGAUUAUACAUUACAUUGUUAGUGAUAAAAUCAAGUUGUAGACAUUAUACACAAUGAUCAGUAUACAGACAAAAUUAGUACUGCUUAGUUUUAUAAACAGUUAUUUUUAUUUCUACAUAAUGCACCUUAUUCUUUAUUUGUGUUGCAUAUUUACAUAUUUAAAAUCAAUUACAACACGGAUUAUUCAUACAUAUUUUUAAUGAUUUGUUUACACAAAAUAACGUUUUCUCAAAAAUUUUGUUUCUGAAACAGUCACGAAAACUUCGAAAUUAGUGUAAAUAAUUUUUAUGCUUUGAUAAAAUUAUAGACAUAUGUGUAUUAGUGAUAUGAUAAUAAAUAUUUAUAGCUAUGAUAAUGCUUUAGUAUGAAGAACAACGAUUUAUAAGAAAUUCAUUUGAUAGGAACAUCUAGCUCUUGAUGGUAGUAUUUCAUACAUGCAUAAGUCUUAAACGGAUUUAACAAAAUUAUACAGUAUGUGUGAAGAAUACGUAUAUAUAUCUGAUUUUCGACAUAAUACUGAAACCACUAUUUCUUCUUUUAUUCUGAUGUAGACAUACCUAGGAAAUUUUUGUCAUUUGCAUGCAAAGCUUCUUAGACUGUCUAUGUUUCAUGUUGAACGGUAGUUGAAUAGUAUGUACUUCACGAACAUCAUGUAAUAUGUCAUUUUGAAUGUUAAUUCCAUGCAAAUAUUAAAUUGACAUAUUAUUUCAGCAAGCCCGUCAAAUAAUUAUUUAGUACAUCUUUCAAAUUAUGCUUAGUGUUAGAUAAAUAAGUGUUUACAGUGUCUCUAAUUUUUUAUGUAUAUGAAUAUACAUAUUUUAUAAUUAAAUUAACAAUCUUAAUUAGUGUGCAGAUGUUAUUUCAAAUAUAUAUUUCUCAAUUAGAAUUGUGAUUACAAUAUCAAUAUGUAGAAUUUUAACAAUAUUUUAUUUAAAACAAAAGCAAAACUUUUAAAAUCAAGUACCAUAUUAUUAAAAAAUAUUUUUGUAUCAUUACAUAUUUAGUAUGUUUUUAUAUGUGAAUGCUUUCUUACUGCUUGUUUAAAACCCUAAUCAUUUAUAUUGCUUUCUGUAUAUUGUGCAAUAGGCAAAUAGUAAGUUCAUCAACAAAGAAAAAUACCAUAAUCUUAUAUUAUCUGUAAAUAUUAAUAAAACAACACUACAUACAGUAACAUUGCUAUAAAAGAAUGCAAAGAAGUUAAAUAUUAAUUUUUGCAAUAAAAGUAUUGAGAAUAAAACUUUGCUGAUGGAUGCGAAAAAUAACUAAAUAAUCAAUGUUUAUGUAAUAACUAGCUAGGUUUUGUUAAGUAGUUAGUGUAUUUGAUCAAGCAUAAGUACUAAUUGAUGAUUUGUUUCUAUCAGCUUGCAUAUUGGGAAAGGUAUAGUAUAUUGCGGUACAAAGUGGACUUUCAAAGUAUGCAGCUGGAAGAUGUUGAAGUUGAUAGUUUUGAUCUGGAUGACUAUUAAAUCUGUGACUCAACAGACAGUUCUUUUAACUUCAGAAGAAAACAUGAGUAUAUGUUUUCCCUUGCAUCAUAUGGAAGAGAGGCACAUAGGAGAACGUGAUCACAAAAUUAUCAUAUGAUGCAACACACAUCAUGAAAUCAUUCAUUAAAGUUCAUUCAAAGAAUUUGCAAUCGAUACACAAAAGUGAGAUGCACAACAUGUGGCGCGCUAAUGAGUAAUACAUGUCCAUGAAGAAAAAAAGGCAACUCGAAGACUGUGACACUUAAUUAAGCCAGCUUGAUACCUGCCUAUCUCACACAACAUUACCUUAUAUUACAAUUAUAUUCUUUAAUUAUUCACAUGGAUUUAUUUAAUUAAUUAUACACUCGCUACAGAGCUGCAUAUAUUUGUACAGUAUAUAAUUUGGGACGUCUUAAUUUUGUAUCAAAUUGAUAUUUAUCAUCUCAUCGUGAAUUUUAUGAUACAAAAUAAAAAAGAAGAGUACUCUAACAACACGAGGAUAUAGCGUUAUAUUUGUUCAGACACAAUCAUAGAUGAGUUAUAAUAAACUGAUUAUCAUAAACAUGAAGUUGAGUAUCGUACAUUCUAUACCAAUUACUAAAUUCAUAUGAAUAAUAAAGAGUUCUGUACAUAGACUUAAAUUUUUAAUGGCACUGUUGCCUUAGACAUAAGUUAAGGUCGCGUAAUAUCCCGGGAAAAUAAAACCUUUCCGUCUCAUCGAGUGAUACACAUAUAAACAUAAGAGAUAAUUUUCGUAAUCUGUAUUAACUUCGCUGGCUUUCGACUCUUAUAUUUUGUACACUCACGAUUGUAUAUAAUAAAUGCUUCGCAUGUGUAUCGA